UACGUAGGGGGCUAGCGUUGUCCGGAUUUAUUGGGCGUAAAGAGCGUGUAGGCGGCCAGGUAGGUCUGCUGUGAAAACUCGAGGCUCAACCUCGAGAUGUCGGCGGAAACCAUCUGGCUAGAGUCCGGAAGAGGAAAGUGGAAUUCCUGGUGUAGCGGUGAAAUGCGCAGAUAUCAGGAAGAACACCCGUGGCGAAGGCGGCUUGCUGGGACGGUACUGACGCUGAGACGCGAAAGCGUGGGGAGCGAACAGG
rnacentral:rRNA from 1 species